rnacentral:rRNA from 1 species
GACGAACGCUGGCGGUAUGCUUAACACAUGCAAGUCGAACGAGAAGUCUUUUAUUGAACCUUCGGGGGAUAUAAGAGACAGACAGUGGCGAACGGGUGAGUAACGCGUGGGCAACCUACCUAUCGGAGCGGGAUAGCCUCGAGAAAUCGGGAGUAAAACCGCAUAACACGGAUAUAUCGCAUGAUGAAUCCGUCAAAACUCCGGUGCCGAUAGAUGGGCCCGCGUCUGAUUAGCUAGUUGGUAAGGUAAGGGCUUACCAAGGCAACGAUCAGUAGCCGGUCUGAGAGGGCGAACGGCCACACUGGAACUGAGACACGGUCCAGACUCCUACGGGAGGCAGCAGUGGGGAAUAUUGCGCAAUGGGGGCAACCCUGACGCAGCAAUACCGCGUGAGUGAAGAAGGUUUUCGGAUCGUAAAGCUCUGUUAUUGGGGAAGAAAGCAGUGACGGUACC